rnacentral:rRNA from 1 species
UGGGGAAUAUUGCACAAUGGGCGCAAGCCUGAUGCAGCCAUGCCGCGUGUGUGAAGAAGGCCUUCGGGUUGUAAAGCACUUUCAGCGGGGAGGAAGGCGGUGAGGUUAAUAACCUCACCGAUUGACGUUACCCGCAGAAGAAGCACCGGCUAACUCCGUGCCAGCAGCCGCGGUAAUACGGAGGGUGCAAGCGUUAAUCGGAAUUACUGGGCGUAAAGCGCACGCAGGCGGUUGAUUGAGUCAGAUGUGAAAUCCCCGGGCUUAACCCGGGAAGUGCAUCUGAUACUGGUAAGCUAGAGUCGUGUAGAGGGGGGUAGAAUUCCAGGUGUAGCGGUGAAAUGCGUAGAGAUGUGGAGGAAUACCGGUGGCGAAGGCGGCCCCCUGGACAAAGACUGACGCUCAGGUGCGAAAGCGUGGGGAGCAAACAGG